UGACAGUCUUAUAAAUAGCUGCUAAGCAGCUGGUCCUCCUCUCACCUCCUGACUCUGUCAGAAUCCCCCACCAGAAGCCCCUGACAGUCAUGCAGCUGGGAGCUCCCCCUUUCUCUUCUUUUCUCCUCUCCACUCUCUACCUCUGACAUGUGGCCGCCAUCUCAACAAUGUCCACUGAAACCAGCCAAGGACUGACUUCCAUGGGAGAAGGGGUCAAGCAGGCUGAGAGCUGGAUCUGACCACUGAAGCAAGCUGUCACCCAAAACACAAUGAAAAGAAAAACAACCUGAGGGAUCCAAUAUUUAACAUGAAGCAACUAAGGGUUACAAACCAGGAGCUGGCUUCUUUAUGCAGUGUUUGAGUCGUUGCUGAUGUCCUUGGACCAGUAGAUCAACUCCUAACAUUACUCUGGCUUUCUGGGUGAUUCAGCCUUCAAGUAAAAUACAAUCCUAAUAUUGGUUCAGUAGCAUUCACUGCUGAGUCUGGAGGUCAGUGGGCAGACACCAUCAGAAUCUCCUUGAGGCUUUUACAAAUGAAGAGUUUCAAAAUGUUCUUUGUCAAUAAGUCUUUUCAUCACCAACAUAUCAAUCUCUCUAAAUUAUGGAUUUAACAUGAUUCCAAUAAAAGUAUAAACAGUCCUAGUCUGGACUUAAACAAGUUGAUUUUCAAGUUCAUAUGGAAAAAUAAACAAGCAAAAUAACCUGGAAAUGCCUAAAGAACAAGCGGCAAGUGCAGGUGUAUUAGAGAUCAGCCCUAGAGAUAUUAGAACAUACUAACAAAACCUCCGUAUUUAAAGACUGUGUUGUUGCCGUAUCAGUACACCAUUGAAACAAAAGAAUAAAAUAUGCAUAGAAUUCAGCAUAUGGUAGAGAUGGACUUUUUCAUACAGGGAAUUGAGACAACUGAGUAUCAUGUGCUAAAGAAUAAAAUUGAAUCCAUACUUUUCACUAUACAACAAGAUCCAUGUUUUAAAUGUGGAAAGUAAAAUCAUAAAAGUACAAAGGAAACACAUGAGAAUUUUGGUUUCCGGAAGGCCUAACUAUGACUAAAACUUCAGGAUCCAUAAAAAAAGAGAUUAAUGAAUUUAAUUACAUUUAAAAAACCUUCUCAAUGCAGAAAGAAAAGUCAAAAGAGAAAAGUAACUGCAGCUCACAUACAGGCGGAGCACUGAUUUCUAUGUGGAAAGUACUCUUAGAAAAGAGAAGACUAACAACCAAUAACCCAAAUGUAAAAAUGAACCAAUGACAAGAGCAAAGAGUUAGUAGAAAAAGAAACACAAAUGCCAGGCAUACAUCAAGAUUACAGUGCCACUCAUUGCAAGAAAAAAGCACACUAAAACUACACAAAAUGCCCUUUCUCUCUAGGAGACUGACAAAAUCCAAAUGCUGGACAACAAUUCCAUUGGUGGGCCAGGAAAAGAGGGGCUGGCGGAGUGCAAAAUGGCAGACUCCAGAGAUAGGUAUUCACAGUGACCUUCAAAAUAACAACACACCUACCAGAUCUCCAUUUUCAGCUGUGAUGGGGGAAGAGAAACUGGAUUUACUAUCUCUUGGGUCUUCACCUAAAGACCCUCCUGAUCCAUGAGUUGGUCUCAGUUCUGGGUGCCUCUCCUGGUAGAAUCAUCUUUACAGAUUGUAGUUUUUUUUUUAAAAGACUCAUUUUCCACACAGCAGGCCCCCAAAACUCCAACCCACUACUUCAUUUAGUGUACAACUUAAGAAAUAACUAUUGCAUUGACACUGAAGUCAAACUUGGCAGCAUUGGACUCAAUGACAGAUGUGCUCGUCACCAGCAUGGUGACUUCCUAAGAGAUUUUCAGAGACUAUGUUGACCUUCUGCUAUUUUCACCUGCUUUAGACUUCAGCUCUGUGCAAAAUACAGAUCAAAUGAAAUGGCAAGAGUACGUGAUGUUGAGUCAGGAGACUUACUGUAGGCUUUGGUCUGUCACAUAGUCUCUCUGGGUUUGUUCUCGUAUUUAUAAAAUGGAGUUGCCCGACUAUGUGAUCUCUAAAAUCCCCUUAGUUCUAGAAUUCUAUAAAAAUUUCUGAUAAGAAUACAUCACAGUCACAAAGAAUUAACAAUGCGCCAAGUUAAGGCAUAAUUACACUGGCUCUAAAAUAUAUAGUUAUGCUACUUAAUGUUACAAUGAGAUUUAAUUAACUCUCCUUUCCUACUGCCAGAGCCACAGUGGAACAAUUGUCUCUGCAAGUCAUACAGAGCAUUGGUGCCUUGGCUGGGUACUCUGGAUCCUAAUUUAUUCUCAUAGCAGCAGGCAAUCACCUUGGAAAGCAGCGAUGUUUGCUUUGCUGGUGAAGGGGGCAGGCAGUUGCACAGAAAAUCUAUUUCCACUCUCCCCUAGCAGCCCCAGAACCCUCCCAGAAGAGCUGUGGCACCAGGUGCCAGCUAAGGACUGCGAGAAGGAUUUAGCCCAACGGAUAAAGUGUGUUCCUCCGGCUGCCUCAGACAGGUGGGUCCAUCUGAAGCAAAUGUUAUGAAAUGGACUUUUUCAUAUAGCCUCGUUGAAAUACCCAAUGCCCCUAGGCCCCUGUAGCCAACAGGGAACUGUCCGACUUACCCAUGAUUUUACUCAUCUUUCAGCUGGAGCAGACCUUCAAACAUAAACCCAAGUCAUCCAGGGCACGGAGUGGAUUUGUGGAGGCUCCCUGGAGGCUGUUGGCUCCAAAUCCCAGGAAUGUGUUAUAUGAAAAAAUAAAUGCCUUUUUUUUUGCCAUCUG